CACGCCAUUGCCCAGUGGCUACUGGAGAAGCGGGAGCUAGGCGGAGGCUUCAAGUCCACCCAGACGACUGUAGUGGCCCUUGAGGCCCUCACCCGCUUCCGUGAAGCUGUCCCUUUUGAGGAUGUCCAGGAUCUCCGCGUCCAGAUAAGCGCCCCCAAGAGAGCCUUGAACUUGGAGUGGAUCAUCGAUCAGAACAAUGCCUACCAGCAGCGGUCGGCAAAGUUCUCUGCCCAG